GCUUACCAUGCAGUCGACGAUGAAGCCCAGCUUGCUGGGUGGAUUAGUGGCGAACGGGUGAGUAACACGUGAGUAACCUGCCCUUAACUCUGGGAUAAGCCUGGGAAACUGGGUCUAAUACCGGAUAGGAGCGUCCACCGCAUGGUGGGUGUUGGAAAGAUUUAUCGGUUUUGGAUGGACUCGCGGCCUAUCAGCUUGUUGGUGAGGUAAUGGCUCACCAAGGCGACGACGGGUAGCCGGCCUGAGAGGGUGACCGGCCACACUGGGACUGAGACACGGCCCAGACUCCUACGGGAGGCAGCAGUGGGGAAUAUUGCACAAUGGGCGCAAGCCUGAUGCAGCGACGCCGCGUGAGGGAUGACGGCCUUCGGGUUGUAAACCUCUUUCAGUAGGGAAGAAGCGAAAGUGACGGUACCUGCAGAAGAAGCACCGGCUAACUACGUGCCAGCAGCCGCGGUAAUACGUAGGGUGCGAGCGUUAUCCGGAAUUAUUGGGCGUAAAGAGCUCGUAGGCGGUUUGUCGCGUCUGUCGUGAAAGUCCGGGGCUUAACCCCGGAUCUGCGGUGGGUACGGGCAGACUAGAGUGCAGUAGGGGAGACUGGAAUUCCUGGUGUAGCGGUGGAAUGCGCAGAUAUCAGGAGGAACACCGAUGGCGAAGGCAGGUCUCUGGGCUGUAACUGACGCUGAGGAGCGAAAGCAUGGGGAGCGAACAGGAUUAGAUACCCUGGUAGUCCAUGCCGUAAACGUUGGGCACUAGGUGUGGGGACCAUUCCACGGUUUCCGCGCCGCAGCUAACGCAUUAAGUGCCCCGCCUGGGGAGUACGGCCGCAAGGCUAAAACUCAAAGGAAUUGACGGGGGCCCGCACAAGCGGCGGAGCAUGCGGAUUAAUUCGAUGCAACGCGAAGAACCUUACCAAGGCUUGACAUGUUCUCGAUCGCCGUAGAGAUACGGUUUCCCCUUUGGGGCGGGUUCACAGGUGGUGCAUGGGUUGUCGUCAGCUCGUGUCGUGAGAUGUUGGGUUAAGUCCCGCAACG
rnacentral:rRNA from 2 species